rnacentral:rRNA from 1 species
UGGGGAAUAUUGCACAAUGGGCGCAAGCCUGAUGCAGCCAUGCCGCGUGUGUGAAGAAGGCCUUCGGGUUGUAAAGCACUUUCAGCGAGGAGGAAGGUGUGAGCUUAAUACGCUCAUCAAUUGACGUUACUCGCAGAAGAAGCACCGGCUAACUCCGUGCCAGCAGCCGCGGUAAUACGGAGGGUGCAAGCGUUAAUCGGAAUUACUGGGCGUAAAGCGCACGCAGGCGGUUUGUUAAGUCAGAUGUGAAAUCCCCGGGCUCAACCUGGGAACUGCAUUUGAAACUGGCAAGCUAGAGUCUCGUAGAGGGGGGUAGAAUUCCAGGUGUAGCGGUGAAAUGCGUAGAGAUCUGGAGGAAUACCGGUGGCGAAGGNGGCCCCCUGGACGAAGACUGACGCUCAGGUGCGAAAGCGUGGGG